rnacentral:rRNA from 1 species
AUUGAACGCUGGCGGCAGGCCUAACACAUGCAAGUCGAGCGGCGCGGCAGACGGGUGAGUAAUGCCUAGGAAUCUGCCUGUUCGUGGGGGAUAACGUCCGGAACCGGGCGCUAAUACCGCAUCCUCUCAGAUGAGCCUAGGUCGGAUUAGCUAUUUGGUGGGGUAAAGGCCUACCAAGGCGACGAUCCGUAACUGGUCUGAGAGGAUGAUCAGUCACACUGGAACUGAGAGACGGUCCAGACUCCUACGGGAGGCAGCAGUGGGGAAUAUUGGACAAUGGGCGAAAGCCGGAUCCAGCCAUGCCGCGGUGGUGAAGAAGGUCUUCGGAGUGUAAAGCACUUUAAGUUGGGAGGCGUUACCAACAGAAGAAGCACCGGCUAACUUCGUGCCAGCAGCCGCGGUAAUUC